CCGCCCUUUAGUGCUGAAGUUAACGCAUUAAGCACUCCGCCUGGGGAGUACGGCCGCAAGGCUGAAACUCAAAGGAAUUGACGGGGGCCCGCACAAGCGGUGGAGCAUGUGGUUUAAUUCGAAGCAACGCGAAGAACCUUACCAGGUCUUGACAUCCUCUGAAAACCCUAGAGAUAGGGCUUCUCCUUCGGGAGCAGAGUGACAGGUGGUGCAUGGUUGUCGUCAGCUCGUGUCGUGAGAUGUUGGGUUAAGUCCCGCAACGAGCGCAACCCUUGAUCUUAGUUGCCAUCAUUAAGUUGGGCACUCUAAGGUGACUGCCGGUGACAAACCGGAGGAAGGUGGGGAUGACGUCAAAUCAUCAUGCCCCUUAUGACCUGGGCUACACACGUGCUACAAUGGACGGUACAAAGAGCUGCAAGACCGCGAGGUGGAGCUAAUCUCAUAAAACCGUUCUCAGUUCGGAUUGUAGGCUGCAACUCGCCUACAUGAAGCUGGAAUCGYUAGUAAUCGCGGAUCASCAUGCCGCGGUGAAUACGUUCCCGGGCCUUGUACACACCGCCCGUCACACCACGAGAGUUUGUAACACCCGAAGUCGGUGGGGUAACCUUUUUGGAGCCAGCCGCCUAAGGUGGGACAGAUGAUUGGGGUGAAGUCGUAA
rnacentral:rRNA from 1 species